rnacentral:sRNA from 1 species
UGAAAAGAGAAAGCUGAUUGCCUCUCAA